rnacentral:rRNA from 1 species
GACGAACGCUGGCGGCGUGCUUAACACAUGCAAGUCGAACGGACAGACCAGGAGCUUGCUGCGUGGUCGAGUGGCGAACGGGGGAGUGACACGUGAGUAACCUGCACCUGACUUUGGGAUAACUUCAGGAAACUGGGGCUAAUAUCGGAGAGGAGCUACUGCUGCACGUUGUGCGAUGGAGAGUUUCGGCGGUUGGGGCUGGACUCGCGGCUUAUCAGCUUGGUGGUGGGGUAGUGGCGGACCAAGGCUUAGACGGGUAGCCCGCCUGGGAGGGUGACCGGAGGCCAUGGGACUGCGGGAGGGACCAGUAUGGUAUGUGAGGCAAGCGUGGGGAACAUUGCGCAGUGGGCGGACGUCUGAUGCAGCAACGCUGCGAGCGUGAUGCCGGCCUUCGGGUGGUAAACCGCUUUCGACGGUGCCGUAGCGUGAGUGACGGUAAUGAGUCAAGAAGCCCCGGCUAACUACGUG